rnacentral:tRNA from 1 species
GCGGGUAUAGCUCAGUUGGUAGAGCGUUGGUUUGUGGUACCAAAUGUCGCCGGUUCGAGUCCGACUACCCGCCCCA